rnacentral:rRNA from 1 species
GACGAACGCUGGCGACGUGCUUAACACAUGCAAGUCGAACGGAAAGGCCCCUUUGGGGGUACUCGAGUGGCGAACGGGUGAGUAACACGUGAGUAACCUGCCCUUGACUUCGGGAUAACUUCAGGAAACUGGGGCUAAUACCGGAUAGGAAUCCUUGCUGCAUGGUGGGGGUUGGAAAGCUUCGGCGGUUUUGGAUGGACUCGCGGCUUAUCAGCUUGUUGGUGGGGUAGUGGCUUACCAAGGCUUUGACGGGUAGCCGGCCUGAGAGGGCGACCGGCCACAUUGGGACUGAGAUACGGCCCAGACUCCUACGGGAGGCAGCAGUGGGGAAUAUUGCACAAUGGGCGGAAGUCUGAUGCAGCAACGCCGCGUGCGGGAUGACGGCCUUCGGGUUGUAAACCGCUUUCAGCAGGGGCGAAGCUUGUGGUGACGGUACCUGCAGAAGAAGCACCGGCUAACUACGUG